GACGAACGCUGGCGGCGUGCCUAAUACAUGCAAGUAGAACGCUGAAGGAGGAGCUUGCUCUUCUGGAUGAGUUGCGAACGGGUGAGUAACGCGUAGGUAACCUGCCUGGUAGCGGGGGAUAACUAUUGGAAACGAUAGCUAAUACCGCAUAACAGUAGAUGUUGCAUGACAUUUGCUUAAAAGGUGCAAUUGCACCACUACCAGAUGGACCUGCGUUGUAUUAGCUAGUUGGUGGGGUAACGGCUCACCAAGGCGACGAUACAUAGCCGACCUGAGAGGGUGAUCGACCACACUGGGACUGAGACACGGCCCAGACUCCUACGAGAAGCAGCAGUAGGGAAUCUUCGGAAAUGGACGAAAGUCUGACCGAGCAACGCCGCGUGAGUGAAGAAGGUUUUCGGAUCGUAAAGCUCUGUUGUAAGGGAAGAACGAGUGUGAGAGUGGAAUGUUCACUCUGUGACGGUAUCUUACCAGAAAGGGACGGCUAACUACGUG
rnacentral:rRNA from 1 species